UAAUAGUGGCAUCUUGGCUUUCAUUUUUUUUUUUUUUUCUCUCCCCAGUCCUGAAGUCCUACAACAUUGGGGUGAGGUCUCUGAAGAAAGGAUGCUGAACAGAGGAGGAUGAUUGCAAAGGAGUGUGAGUGCAAGUGUGUGCCAGAGAAAUGGAAGAGAGAGAGUGCUGGAGUCUACAAGUGUUCAGAAAGAUGAAAACACAAGAGCCUGCCAUGGUGGACCACAGAGAUGCUGGUUUGUGACAUUCGGUUCCAGGUGUAAGUAAAAAUUUUGAGGAUGAAAAAUAAGUUUAUGAGAACCUUCUUCUGAGAAAAAAGUGCUCAGUUCAGAGUAGAGGUUUUGCUGAUGGUAAAAAGGACCAGACUAGCCAAUACCACUCCGGGCUCAGUCAUGAAGUGAACAUUUUAAAUGGAGACACUGAAGAUUUAACUCCAGUCUCCAGUGCUACCUACAAUAUCAAGAUGUAUUUUCAGUAGAAUUCUGCUUUCAUGAAAUGCAAGGAAGCACUUCAGAUUUAUAGUCACCUGAAAAGCUACUGAUGACACACUGACACAAGUAAUUCAUUUUACUAUCUGUCGUAAUAAGUUCUCUCAAUUUU